UUUCAGACUUCAGGUACUGAAUAGCCAGCCUCAUUGGUGUCUAAUGGAGAAUCCCUUUGAAGAUUGAGAGCCAUUCAUAUUUCAGUUACCUUAGGAACCAUGGAUAACAAGGACCAUCAAGAACUUGCUCACUUACCUGUAACAGGAGGCAGUAUGCAGCAUUUAAUCAUUGUACGUCUAAAGAAGAGAUGUCCAGGGGCUGGAGAAAUCCCUUUCUGAUGUGUCUGAGGAGAACAACGGUGUAUUCACAUACAUAAAAUAAAUAAUUUUUAAAAAGA